rnacentral:sRNA from 1 species
AUAAAAAAAUUUAGUUAUGUAACUAAAUUAACUCAAAUGGAUUUGUGUCGUAUGCGUAGUCCUAGACCUGUUCCUAUAUUUGAGCCUGCCCAUUUCAAUUCCCAGGUGCUCUGCUCCGUACAAAUUAUUUGAUCUACUCUCAAUUUUUCUAAGACAGGCAAGUACUCAUAUUCGAUUCUCUAAUUCUGAUUCAGGAGUAAGAUGACUUUGGUUGCUUGAGAAUCUGACAUAGGCACACAAGAAGAAGCAGCUGAAGCUUAUGAUAUUGCUGCAAUUAAGUUUAGAGGGACAAGUGCUGUAACCAAUUUUGACAUAAAUAGUUACCUGACUUUAAGAAGUUGCUUGAUAUCGAGUUUGAAAAGGUCAAGGCUAGUUCAUUUUCAAGUCCACAGAAUGAUCCACUGAUACGUCAGUUCCGGCAAGCUGUCUGGAUCUAAAGAAAAAACCACCUUCAUUUGAUUCCAUGGAUGCCCAAAGAAUGGUUGAAAAUGCUAGAAGAGUUGCUAUGGAUGAGAUGAAAGAAGUGAAAGAUAAAUUAGAAGAAGAGAUGCAAAAAAAGUUGGAGCAGCAAGUACAAUCUAUCAAGAUUGAGAUGACAGAUCAAGUUCUAACGAUCAAAUCAGAAAUUUUGCAGCAAAUUAACUUGUUGAUCUCACAAUUACAAAUGAGGUUUCCUAAGCCAGCAACUUCAACCAUAAAUGACCAGCCAUCAACUUCUUCACAAAUGCUUAAUGAAUCAUCGUUGAUUGAUUGUCAAGAAAUGGAACAAAUAAUCAAACACCAAAUAUUUGAUAAUAUAUCUUUAAAUCAGAUUUGUAAGAUGGUGAAAGUUAAUGUUCCUUACUGCUCUUGGAAGAAUAAAGGCACAACUUCGAACAAAUGAGCCUAACAAGAUACUUGGAAAAAUUGAUUCCAAAUAUUGCUAUUGGUGAAUGCUGUAAGGAAGGCUAGGAACUGUAAUGUCAGCUGGUUUUGUUAGAUUGGAGAAUAGACAAACAAAUAUGUAUAGAGAGGAGUUAGAGAGAAGAAGAGAGAAAGAGAGAGAUGACUAAAAUUAGUUGAGGAAACCCCAUAUUGUAAACAUUGUAAAGACCUUUGAAAAUGAUUUUUAAAGCAUUUGAUUUUUGAGGCAUUAGUUCUACAAUUUGAUUUUA